GGAAAAGUAAGCUAAGUUUUAAGCUAAUAGGUUCAUACCCUAUUUAUAGAGUUUAACUCUCUUUCCUA
rnacentral:tRNA from 1 species